AACGAACGCUGGCGGCAUGCCUAACACAUGCAAGUCGAACGAGACCUUCGGGUCUAGUGGCGCACGGGUGCGUAACGCGUGGGAACCUGCCCUUAGGUUCGGAAUAACUCCCCGAAAGGGGUGCUAAUACCGGAUAAUGUCUUCGGACCAAAGAUUUAUCGCCUUUGGAUGGGCCCGCGUUGGAUUAGCUAGUUGGUAGGGUAAAAGCCUACCAAGGCGACGAUCCAUAGCUGGUCUGAGAGGAUGAUCAGCCACACUGGGACUGAGACACGGCCCAGACUCCUACGGGAGGCAGCAGUGGGGAAUAUUGGACAAUGGGCGAAAGCCUGAUCCAGCAAUGCCGCGUGAGUGAUGAAGGCCUUAGGGUUGUAAAGCUCUUUUACCCGGGAUGAUAAUGACAGUACCGGAGAAUAAGCGCCGGCUAACUCCGUG
rnacentral:rRNA from 1 species